rnacentral:rRNA from 1 species
AGAGUUUGAUCCUGGCUCAGAACGAACGCUGGUGGCGUGCCUAACACAUGCAAGUCGCACGAGAAAGCUUCCCUCGGGAAGCAAGUAAAGUGGCGAACGGGUGAGUAACACGUGAGUAAUCUACCUUAAAUGCUUGGAAUAACUAUUCGAAAGGAUGGCUAAUACCAAAUGUGACCACGAUUUCUUAGGAAAAUGAGGUAAAAGAAGGCCUCUGCGUGCAAGCUUUCGCUUUAAGAUGAGCUCGCGGACCAUUAGCUAGUUGGUAAGGUAAUGGCUUACCAAGGCAGUGAUGGUUAGCUGGUCUGAGAGGAUGAUCAGCCACACUGGAACUGAAACACGGUCCAGACUCCUACGGGAGGCAGCAGUGGGGAAUAUUGCGCAAUGGGGGAAACCCUGACGCAGCGACGCCACGUGGGUGAAGAAGGCCUUCGGGUUGUAAAGCCCUUUCAGGAAGAAAGAAAUGGAAUUAAGUAAUUGUAAUUCCUUGACGGUACUUUCAGAAGAAGCACCGGCUAACUCCGUGCCAGCAGCCGCGGUAAUACGGAGGGUGCAAGCGUUGUUCGGAAUUAUUGGGCGUAAAGCGCGUGUAGGCGGUUUAAAAAGUCAGGUGUGAAAGACCCCGGCUUAACUGGGGAAGUGCACUUGAUACUAUUAGGCUUGAGUACAGGAGAGGGAAGCGGAAUUCCCGGUGUAGAGGUGAAAUUCGUAGAUAUCGGGAGGAACACCGGUGGCGAAGGCGGCUUCCUGGACUGUCACUGACGCUGAGACGCGAAAGCGUGGGUAGCAAACAGGAUUAGAUACCCUGGUAGUCCACGCUGUAAACUAUGGGUGCUAGGUGUUGGAGGUAUUGACCCCUUCAGUGCCGAAGGAAACCCAUUAAGCACCCCGCCUGGGGAGUACGGCUGCAAGGUUAAAACUCAAAGGAAUUGACGGGGGCCCGCACAAGCGGUGGAGCAUGUGGUUCAAUUCGACACAACGCGAAGAACCUUACCUGGUCUUGACAUCCCGUGACACCCGGGGAAACUCGGUUUCCUCCUUAUGGAGACACGGUGACAGGUGCUGCAUGGCUGUCGUCAGCUCGUGUCGUGAGAUGUUGGGUUAAGUCCCGCAACGAGCGCAACCCUUGUCUUUAGUUGCCAUCAUUUAGUCGGGCACUCUAAGGAGACUGCCGGUCUUCAAGCCGGAGGAAGGUGGGGAUGACGUCAAGUCCUCAUGGUCUUUACGACCAGGGCUACACACGUGCUACGAUGGCCGGUACAAAGAGCUGCUAACCCGCGAGGGGGCGCUAAUCUCAAAAAGCCGGUCCUAGUUCGGAUCGGAGUCUGCAACUCGACUCCGUGAAGCCGGAAUCGCUAAUCAGCAGAUCAGAACGCUGCGGUGAAUACGUUCUCGGGCCUUGUACACACCGCCCGUCACACCAUGGGAGUUGAUUGCACCAGAAGUCGCCAGGCUAACUUCGGAGGCAGGCGCCUAAGGUGUGAUUAGCGACUGGGGUGAAGUCGUAACAAGGUA